UUGCAGAAGUGACCUGCUGCAAUCCUGGGAACUCAACAACUGUAUGUCAGCGUUACGUAAGAAAGCAUACUGUUCGAACCUUCUGCAAUUUCAGCAUCAAAGAGAUUCAGCAUUUUUCACACAGUUUCAAAUGAGGAACUUCCCUAAAAAUAUUGUGCAUUGUAAUACGGAACAAUGAGACUCUUUCGCAAUGAAUCACAUACAUUUGUGGACUGGUUCCUCUGACGCAGGCAGAAUUGGGAGUCAAGCUGAGUAUCAUGGAUUGUGGCGUCAGACAUCAAAGAUCAGAUUUCACAAAUCUCGACUUUUGGAGACAAACAAAAAUGACAGUAAAGAAUUUCUGACGCCUAUUAGAAGUUGUGUGUGUCGUUUUAAGUGUUGCUAAGGAAAGCCAAGUAGGCAGUCUAGUUCACUAUCAAGUUAACAAGCCAGUAGUUAAAAGUUCAAUCAAUAUUGUUUGAGGUAGUUAGCAAAAAUACAGGCAGGUAAGUAAGCUAGCUAAAAUAGGGUGACCAUAUUAUGAAUCCCCGAAAAGAGGACACGACUAGUCAUGGAGUUGCACUUAGCAAAUUUUGAGAGUUUGUUGAGUUGAGUGUCUUUUAUAUGCUUCUAACUCAGUAAAUCCAUGCAACACAAACUCAAAUCUUCGGUACAAAAUCUGGGACAUUUGAAAGAUUUUAUAAACUCCCCCCGACAAGGCUGAACAGGCCCCAAAAAGAGGACAUGUCAGGGUAAAAGAGGAUGUAUGGUCACCCUAGCUAAAAGUUUUACUAGACAAUAUCAAGUUUUGCAAAUUGACAAUAUAUCAAUGGUGAAAGUAUUAAGGAAAAUGUGGUCAAGUUUUAAGAUACAAAACACCACUAAAGACGUUUGACAAAGUUAGCUGAAAGUAACUUAUAAUGUUUACAAAGCUAGCUCAAAACGUGCUUUUAAAGCUAGCUAAAAGUAGCAGACAGUCUUGACAUCAUAGGGUCAUGAUUCCUCAAUGAUUUGAGUAGUUAGCAAAAUAUCACUCAGGGUCCUUUUUUUAUGCAGAAAUUGAAACAAUUUGAAAACAGUAAAGUAUUGUUGCGUUUCAGCCAAUCGUCUACAUGAGGUCAGGAAUUUGGGCGACUCAAAACUCAAACUUUUGACACCGGGCUGCAGCUUGUACUCCUUCGUAAACACUACCAUAGUUUAUACUCACUGCUCUUUAAUAGGUAGGUGCAUCUUUGGUGAUGUUUAAUUACACUGCCAGCAACAGGCCUAGCACUUUGGAUGUUAUGAACAUGCUAAAUACUUGUCAGCUGUGCUAACUCGUCAACAUGACGUAAUAUUAAGACAGAUAGCACUAUGGGAACACUUGAUUGCUCUGCUGUUGCGACAAACUGCGUAUGUUAAUGUCCUUCCAGCAAUGUCAGAUUCAAAUGACCGACUAAGACAAUCACUGCUUGAACCUCCUGUUGCUAAACAGUUGCAUAAGAUCAUUAUCGAAAAGCCUCAAGUGUAAACAGCCAGCAUUUGUUGGUACACAAUACAACUCAUUGCCAACCGGGUGGCACAUUUGGCUCCGUGGGUGCUUUGGACCAGUGACAUAAGCCAGCUCAUUGUUGAAUCUCCAAAACCUCUGAGUGCUCUUCACCCUCAUCUGUAAUUAUAGUCUAGGUUAGAGGAAAGGCUUGGCAGCACCGCUGACAGGAAAGUGUAGAAAGCUCUCUAUUAUCGCUUUUCAGGUGCAAAUGCCCGACAUCCUGAGGAGUCAAAUCAAAGCAAAAUUAAACUCUGAAACUGAACUUUAUUAUUUAAGUUUUCAAAGGAAUGGGGGACCUUAUCUGGACACAAAGAAAUUAAAGCAAAAAGGUUGAAAAUGUUGGUAUAUUGUAUACAAUUUACAGCCAAAUCAUCUCUAGCCCUCAUGUCAUGUAAUCCAUGGAUUUGGCCUCCUAGUGCACUUUGCAACUGGAAUUCCUUACACACACACACGGACACAUACAAAAACAAUAGCUUGAGGCUACUCCGAUUCAAUAAACUCUCGGUGCCCUGAAGAAAUGUUCGUCUGGGUCGUGAACAGAGGCAGAUUCAGUUCAUUCCGAUGUUUUUCCUCUCACUGAGCACACAGACGGUCCUGUGCAAACAUUUAUUAGUGCCCACAUUUACUCUACAUGCCUUGACUCACAGUCUAGACCAUCCGAUGAUCCUUUCAGGGCAGGUGGAGCUUUUCCAGUACGUCUCUUCAUAUGAUUUCGCAACACGUCCAUGCCAAAUACAAUCCAACGAAAACCUUGUGUAAGGUGUGGCAUUUGAGAAUUUUCAGUCUGAUUGUAAGGUUAAAGGUUAUAUAUUCGGUGGUAUUUAAAUGUUUGCCAUUGGACCACAGGUUGUGAUAUGAACUAUACAAACAUUCCCUGAGGCAGAAAUAUUCUCGGAGGUUGGGUAACAUCCAUCUGAACUUUUGGACCAAGAGAUGCAGCAGCAGAAGCAUCUUGGAGGCUGAUUGGCCACUUUAAACUUGGUAAAGUCUAACAUCAGCACAUCAGGUGUAUAUAAAGUAUAUGAGUGGUACGGCAGCACUUGGGACCACAAUUAUAGAGUUGCCCAAUUUGUGUUCUUUGUUGUUUCCCAUGGCAACAGAAAGAGGAAGCAGUCAUCACCUUGAAUCAUCAGUAAAAUUUGUCAUGUCAUUCGCCGUUCCUCAUCCUGCCAGAAUAUAUUGAAUUUCUGCAGAAAGCAGAACUUCUGUGCCCUUCUGGUUUAUAUAAUUGAUUUAGGGUCUAAAAUAGGACCAGAACUGACAAGAAGAAGCAUUGUGCUGCUGUUUCUGCUGACCUGUUAGGCUUUUGAUACUUUUGGAUCGCUCUUCUCAUUAAGAAUCUUAAUAAUGUUGGUCUUGACUUCAUCUCUUGGAAAUGGUUUCAAAGUUAUCGCUGUGGGAGGUUUCACGGUUUAAAAGUGGGAAAUAUUCAAUCAAAGAUUCUACCAUUAAUGAAAGUUGUUCCACAAGGAUGAGUCCUGGGUCCUGUUUUAUUUUCUAUCUUUAUCAAUAAAACUGUCUCCUAUAUGACAGACUGUAAUAUCCAUCUUUAGGCAGAUGACACUGUUCUGUCUUCUUGUGCUGACUCUGCACAGGUCAUUUUUGAGAAGAUAGUUUUGUUUUAAUGCUCCAUAUAAAGCACUUGUAACUGUCUCCAAACCCUAAGCGUGGGUAAAAACAUUCGCACGAAUGAAUUACAUGUUAAGUCAAUGCAAAGAUGCUCCUACUACUCUGGCGGUGCGAAUGACGCGAAUUGGGCAGGAGCUGAAAAUGUCUCAAUUUGAGUGGUUAUUCACGUCGCGAUAACCAUCAGGACAAAGGUUGUUGACAUUGUAAAAAAAAACUUUGUCUAUCACUUGAUCCCACUGGUUGAAUUGGCAGGGAUUACCAUUGACACGCGAAUGAAGCGAGUAAAUACUAUUCAUUUGCGCGAAUUAAGCGAGUAGAUUUUGCUCGCGCUUGGUGUGAGCGCCCCACUAGUCUUGAACUCGUACUGAAUGCAGGCAAAACUAACUGAAUGUUUUUCUGCAGGGCAAGAGAUAUUUUAGCUGUCUGCAAGUAUUCACUCUGAAUAAAAGAGUCCAAGCAUAUAAAUAAAUAUCUUUGUUUACAGCUUGAUGAAUUAUUUGCAUUUAAAACCCACAUUGAAAACCUCAUUGACAAACUUUGGCUCAGAUUUUUUAUUUUUUUCAUCUUACAUGUUGAAAAUGUUUUGUUGAAGUGGUCUUUCUUUCAUAUCUAUGUGAUGACAGUAUGCAUAGACAUGCUGCAGCCUCCACCCUCUAAUCCCUGGACUCAGUUUCUCUCUCUGCUCUUAGAUUCAUAACUACAUAAAGACUCCUAUGAGACUCAUUAUUGUACACACUGAGCGCAACACAGCAAACUGAAGGCUGGUUCAGCACAAACCAGCUCAGGCAAAGGUAUCCAAAUCGGCAGGCAAAACAGAGUCCAAAAAGCAAACAAACUCUGAUCAUAGAGAGGGGAACUUGUGCGCUGUGACCAGGAAACAUGACAAACUGGCACAGAGGGAAGGAAACACCAAGCUUAAAUACACACAAGGGGAUAACAAGACACAGGUGAGACUCAUUAAGGUAAACAGGUGAGCGGGAAACACCGGGAAUAGGAAGUUAAGACACCUGAAGGGAUACAUUUCAAAAUAAAACAAGAAACACGAGACAUGAAUCAUGGAGACACAGCAGUUUAUAUACUUUACUAAGGUCCAAAAUCAAGACUCCUUUAAUCCACCAUAAAUGUAGUGGAGUCACACACACUUUUGUCAGGUAUAAACCUCGAGCAGAACCAGACAUAUGUAAGACAGCCAUCUGCAACCAAUGUGUUGAGAGACGGGUGGAUGGGGACAAACAUCAUUUUCAGGAGCAGCAAACUAAUUAAAAUAAACUGAUUGUCAUAUUUAUGGUUCUCAAAGUCAACAGUUCCAUAAAAGUCAGGACUAAUAAAACUAAUUAUGGUGGUUGAUGCCAAGCUGGAGACAGUUGGCAUGACGACGCUGAUAAUAACACUGAGGUUGGUAUAAGAUUAUUAUAAAACAGUUGGAGUCAGGCAGGUCCACAGUGGGAGGCCAUCUGUAGGAACACAGACGACAAGAGAGUGGGGUAACACUAAGAGCUGGUUCAAGCCUAAACCAGCCCGAACUAGCACCAUGAAAGCUUGAGUGAAUCGCACUGGUUAUCUCAUUACAGGAGUGCCAGUAAGUGGGCUGUUAAAGGUUGGCGUGUUAGAACCAGAAUUAAUAGGGAUGAGGGCACCAAACUGUGAUGUCUGGACUUCUUAGUCAAAGCUUUACUGGUCUGAAGAGGUCUGCACCCACCCAAAGUGCUCCAAGGGGGGGAAAAAAGUGACAGCAACAGGGAGCCAGGAAUGGUUGUGUGGUCUUAUACAACAGAUGAGCCACUGGAGCUGAAACGGCUGAAAAGGGAAAGUUGGCUCUGGUGGAAAGGUGUCAGAACACGUGAUGCCGAGAAGUUUGUGUGUACAGUGCUGCAGCAGCCAGGGUGUCCAUGCUGACCCCUGUCCACAGCCAGAAGAAACUCUAAUGAGCAUCAGAGCUGGACCUGGAGGAGCAUGGCAAAGACCUGAAGUUAAUGAAAGUCCUCAGGUCUUAAUCUAAUCAAUUAUCUGAUGAAUUUUCCACCUGUGCAGCCUUUCCUUUGAUUGAUUGUUUGUCUCUGUUUGGCAGAUUAAAGCUCCUGUGAGUUACUUUCUGUUUGUGUAAAUUCUGGCGCCCCCCUGUGGACAAAGCUAUCUUGUCCAUUAAUUUAAAGAAAUAGUAAUAAUGCUACAGUGCCCCCUCACAUCAAAGAUUAAUGGUCUUGUUUGCAUAUUUAGGUGAGAAGAUGUUUUACAAUCAAUAUUGGUACGUUCGAUAAUCACUUAAAACGUCCCCACAGGAGCUUUAAAGAGACUGAUUUUUCCAGAAGUAGACAAUAAUGAAUAGAUUUUGAUAUUUAUCAGUCAUCAAAACACCAGUUAUGUGUUUUUUUAAGUUUGCUAAGGAGUGGUUGAGGUUGGCCUGGCAAAUUCAGAGGAAAAAGGAACCUCGGUGCAGAUGGUGUUUGUAGGGGGGGCUGAAUCUGGUAGAGUUGGCAACGACACUUCCUUUUAACCACAAGCCUCCAAAAUUUACUCCUAAUAAAAUUCUGGGAGUUUUUUUCCAACUGACAAACAUGCUGAGAAGUUCUUGUGUGGCACCUCAGUGUAAUUGACCUAAAUAAAAUAAAGGUUUUGUUUGUGUAAAGCCGGGAAACACAAUAAAAUUUUGUUUAUUUGGUGUCAAAACAAAGUGGCUUCGACUGAAAGAGGAAGGAGAGGAAAUAAAGUUGUGAAAAGCCUUUGAAUUUUGCAAGGUCGUAUGAUUGACUCCACCCGAUGAUGCUCAUGCCAACGAAUCACAUCUGUCUCUGAAGGGUUUUUUCAAUUUUACCAUGAAUGCUGUUGUCACCAUCUCCUUCGUGUCAGGAGGAAAGAAGAGAUGCAACAUGUGCUUUUAAUAACUCCAUCUCUGCUGCUGCUGUUGCUGCGUCUACUUCCCUGCCCACUUGUGGUAUUACUCCACCUUGUUUUUUUUUCUCUCCGUCUGUCUUGCUGAGACUACGUGAGUCUGUUCACAUCACCAUCUCGAUUAUUCAUGCAUCGGGGAAAAAGUAGAAGCAAGGCAGGAGAGGGAGAAAGAGAGGAGGUUUUGAAGGAGGAGGGACUUAGAAAGGUGGACGUGACUUUCCUCACCUUCUCUUUCCUCCUUUUUUUCUCUCUCCUCCUCCUUAUCCCCUCUGUUCCCUCCAUCCCUGCUUCCUAAUUUCUUCGUCUGACCUCCUCCUCUCCCAUGUCUUCUCAUGUUGGCAUGUCUGCCGUCCAAGACUAUCCUAUUAGUCCGCUCUCUCUAACCCAUUAACUUGGCGAGGCAUUAGGAGGAGUCAGGACAUCGAUAUAAGAAGAAGUAAGCCUCUGUUGUCUAAUAAUGUCGGACACUCUUUUCUUCUUUGGAGAUUUAGCUUCUUUUCAAUCGAGUGUCUAAUCUCGUGUCUAUUUGGGCCUUAAGGUGAAUGAUCUCAGUGUGCUGACUGCCAAGACGACUGACACCGAAAUCUGUCUGCUUUAGGCGGUGAUCACCUCCUUAGAAACAGGUUUAAGGCUUCAGUAUUGACAAGCAGCGAAUAAGAGGUCACGGGACAUCUGUUGGCAUGUGCAUGUCAUUGUUUGGCAUGUGCAUGGCAACAUCAGCAGCCGUCUUUGUCCAGCCCUGAGGCGAUGGAGUAUACGCCAAGUCUUUGCACAAGUUCAGACUUGCAGUAAUAGACAGUGUGGAUAAAAGUAAUGACUACUGCUUUUAAUCUUCAAGUCUUUAAUAUCAACCCCUUCAUUUAAACUAGUCUCAAAUAUACGUGCCUAAAGCCUGCAAUGAGACCUUCCUCCCCCUUGUUGCACCCAGUCAACUUUUCCAAAAUUAGCUGUUUUUCAUUCGAAAUUCUCUGGAGGGGACAUCCUCAGCUUCCUGCAGCGUCAACCACAAAUAUUCUGGUUUCAAUCCAGACAGAGUGAAGUCACGUUUUUUCAGACGACUCCAAAGCCAUCAGAAAACUUCCUGUUGUUUCCGAUCUCCUCUGCGCACUCCUAUUUAAAAAUCAAAAAAUGAUUUAAUAAAAAGAACUAAAUGGAAAAAAAACAACAAAAGAGAAAAAUACACAAAAAUCACAGGGAGCAACAGGAGACACAAGCAUACACACCAACAUACAUACAAUGAACCAACAAGGUCCGAGGGGAAGACAGGGACUAUAUGCACACUGGGAAACGAGCAACAGGUGAGACAGACGAGACACAGGUGAAACUCAU